AUUGAACGCUGGCGGCAUGCCUUACACAUGCAAGUCGAACGGCAGCACGGGUACUUGCCCCUGCUGGCGAGUGGCGAACGGGGGAGUAAUACAUCGGAACAUGUCCUGUAGAGGGGGAUAGCCCGGCGAAAGCCGGAUUAAUACCGCAUACGAACUACGUGUGACAGAGGGGGACCUAGUGGACGCGGGCUUUGGGGUUGGUCGAUGGCGGAUUAGCUAGUUGGUGGGGUAAAGGCCUACCAAGGCGACGAUCAGUAGCUGGUCUGAGAGGACGACCAGCCACACUGGGACUGAGACACGGCCCAGACUCCUACGGGAGGCAGCAGUAGGGAAUUUUGGACAAUGGGCGAAAGCCUGACCCAGCAAUGCCGCGUGUGUGAAGAAGGCCUUCGGGUUGUAAAGCACUUUUGUCCGGAAAGAAAUACUUGGCCAUAAUACGGGCGGGGGAUGACGGUACCGGAAGAAUAAGCACCGGCUAACUACGUG
rnacentral:rRNA from 1 species